AUAUAUAAGCAUACAAAAACUGCAAUAUUUACAGUGAUGAUGA
rnacentral:guide_RNA from 1 species